UUUUUAAAUUGCUGUGGUAUUUUGACUAUACAAAGGUAUUGAAAUAAGAUUUUAAUUGAAUGCUAAGAGAAUGGAACUUCAGAAAAAAACUUUUUUUAAAUUAAAAAUUGAAUUUUUUUUAAUUUGUGCAGAAACAAUUAUUAAUAUUAAGGACAAGAAGACCCUAUGAAUUUAUUAAAUUUAUUUUAAUGAAAAUUUUACAUUAAAUAAAUUUUGGCUGGGGCGGCAAGAAAAUAUUAAAAACUUUUCAGAAAAUAAAACGAUCCAUUAUUAAUGAUUAUAUGUUAAAUACUCUAGGG
rnacentral:rRNA from 1 species